AACGCACAUUGCGCCUUCUGGUAUUCCGGUAGGCAUGUCUGUUUGAGCGUCAGCAAACACCUUCAGCGCAAGUUUUUGUAUGAGAACUCGCCGCUGGUUAUGAGCUAUGGAUUCUAGCUAGCAUGGGGGGCUUUGUCCCUUAUGCUUGCCUGCACCUGCUCUAAACUUGCUGCACGACCGCUAGCUUCGGCUGAGUCAAUGGAGUGGUCUUACAAUCUUCCAUAAGACUUUCUGUCAGGCUGGGCGGCGUUAAACCUCAUGUUCUCACGAACUGAUGUCUUGACCUCAAAUCAGAUAAGGAUACCCGCUGAACUUAA
rnacentral:misc_RNA from 1 species